rnacentral:lncRNA from 1 species
UGUCCUCCCCUGCUUUGAGACUGAGCCAAAUCUCUGAGCCAGAUGAUGACCUCCAGUUCCUGAUGAGCAAUGGCGCCACAAUGGGUGGAUUCGAGUUGAACCUACAGCAGCAGGUUCUGAGGCAGUACUCUUCUACUCAACAUUUUACUUGGCCUCUUUGAGACUUUCUACCAAGAGCCCUUACCAGUAGAAGGUUGCUAGUUGCUACUAAGAGUUUAUAGUCUCAAGAUCUUAUUAAAUUAAAUAUUUUUCUAUGCUACUGCUACUUAAAACCAGACAAUGAUGCCAGAUAAUGGCCUUUGAAUCUGGAUAUUAUUUAAAUGGUUUUGGCUCUUGAUUUUAAGCCAUUUGUUUUUAGUACUGAUGCUAUAUUAGUAUAAACGCAGAUUAAAACAUCAUCAUCAUUAAUAUAUAUUGUUAAUAAAAUCAGAAUUCCACAUCCUUUUCUAAAUCUACUAUCUAUGAAACCAUGACUAAUAUGGCAAUUAGCAACUCCUUACAAAUUCUUUAGUAAGCAUCUCUUAACUUACCUGCUUAUGCAACUGCAAACAGUAUCUUACUUCUGUUUCUUGCUUCCUGUUCAGCCACCGACACGAAGCUUCUGAAAUGAUCCAUAGCACUGUGACUUUAUCUAGUGAUCAUCCUCAUAUACGCCAGGGCAUUUGGAAAGAAGAGCUUCACUCGUUUCAUACUGAUUCACAAAUUUAGAAAAAAAUUGUCAGUGUAGAGUAUACUUAAACGAACUCAAUACAUAGCACACUGAUCGAAGAAAGCUUGAACGCUACAGAUGUUCAUCUCUCAGUUUCAUUAAUAUCUCUUGCAAAUCCUGCAAAACCAGUAAAGCUAAACUUGUCACCCCUCAAGAAAAUAAAGGACAAUGAUGACUCUCAAAACCUCAACUGCUAGCCAAGAACUAGAGAACAUACCUCUUCAGUGAUAUCCUCCUCUUCUUCCUCGAUCUAAGAAUCUCCACACUCACUGGCUCAACCUUACCAGACCCUUCUUUACCAAGAGCUGACCCUGGCUUCUUCAUCCGUUUCCUCUCUAUCUCCAGUCAUCUCAAGCCAACUGAGAUUCUUUAGCUUCUUAUGCUAUGGUUCAAAGGUUACAGUUUUCUUUUGCAAAAGCAAUCAUCUUUCAACCAGAGGCAAGUGAAUUGAGAUUACGUAUACAAUACCCACCACGAUCUCACUCAGCUAUCAAUCUAGUUCCGUUAAAGGGCAAGUUUUUAAUCUAUAAAGUUUAAAACUUUGUCAUGAAAGCACCACCUUUCUUUUGGAAGCUUUGAGUUCUGGUCGUAUAAAGUAUAAACUGAGAUAGGUCUCCCAUGUAGCUAUCGUUGUCUGCGUCUUGUUCGUGUUUGGCUGCUUCUCCUCCGAGCCCAGUCACCUUACUCGUUGAUUCUGCCUUUGUUGCGACGACUGCGAACUAAAAUAAGAAAAAGAGAGCAACUGUUAACGGGCUUUAUAAUUAGGCCCAAUAAGAUUAUCUGGAUCUACCUUGGACUUUCUGUGACGCUGCUAAAGAAUAUCUGAAACCCUUUGUAAGUUAUCAUAAUUUAAUAUAACACGAUAUUUGCUUCUA